GAAUUAUCGCAACUAUUUCCCCUUUGUUAAGAAAAAUUAUAUGUUUUCCGGGCUUGGGAUAAAUUAUUCAUACUUCAAAAUUAUUUCGAAAUUAAUUAAAUAACUCCUAAAAAAAUUUAUUCAAUCCCAUGAUUAACUUAUCGUAAUAAUUUCCCACCGAGAAUUUAUAUUUAUUUCGGCCUUGGAAAAAAAAAUUCUAAAAUUAAAUAAACAAGUCCCCACAAUUAAUUCAAUUAUCAACCCAAUGAUUUAUUUACAAAACCCAAAUUCUCCACCUUAUCACUCAAAUUAAUAUUUUAAAGCCCCAAAACAAUUUUUUAACUCAUCCUUAUCUCUCCAUUUUAUUUUGUAAUGCCCAACUAAAAAGAAUGGCCCAAACUAAAUAAAUCCUCUAAUUUUAAUUUAUUAGCCCAAUUUCUUUAAACAAAACAAAAGCCCAAUCUUAAAAAAAACAAAAGGCCCAAGUUAAAAGUCAAAGAAAAAAGGAGUCAAAAAAAUACUCCCCUUCUCUCUCUCGGCACUUCCGCCUCCCUCCCUCUCCUUAACAAAAUUUUCCCCCAAAUUUUCCAUAGAUCCUCAUUUGGAGAAAUCCCAAAUCCGUCGGCCUCCAUCGUCCUACGCCGGCGACCUUUACGCUGUUUCGCCACCACCACCGUCUUAUCUUCCGAGGAAAACGCUGAUGCAGCGAGAGGACAAGGAAGCCGUCGCUCAGCCGCCACCGCUGCUGCUGAUUCGUCGAUUCGCCGCAGCCACCGCGGCUGUCUUCCCCGGCGGAAAUCGCAGCUGUUCGCUGCUCGCUGGCGGAAUCAGGGACACCGCCGCCGUUCCACACCAGAAACUGCCACCGCUGUUCGUGAGCAGCCACGGGAACUCUUCACCAGCUUCGGACAGCCCCGACGUCAAUCAGAACAGCACCGAAACCAACCCGAACAGCCCCGCUGCUGUUGCAGCAGCCCCGAAACACGGUCGCAGCCCCCGACUUCAGACGGGACAGCCCCGAUUCACCUCCGAACAGCCCCGAAACCAACCCGAAAGAUAAGUUUAAAACAAGGUUAUAUUCUUUCGUGUUUUCGAUUAGCCACGGCGGUGUUCGAUUGAUGAUUGAGUUAUGUGUGGGAAUGAUGUACGACGAACAUGAUAUGAAUAACACCGAUCAAAAGGAAAAAGAUUUUUACCUUCGUUUGAUUGUACGAUUGUGUGAAAUUCUCCUUCCUCUAUCCUCUAUCCUCUAUCCACGUUGGUGUAUACAGAGAAUUUAGAUGGUGAUGGGGUAUAAUCGGUUCAAGUUCGUGGUUGUCCGCGUUGAAGUACCCGAUUUUCUUUAGAACGAAGGAUGUAUUAAAUUAAAUUUUCGUUGAACUUUUGUUGGAUGUAUCGGACAUUAAAACUUUAAAUUUUGGGGUUUUAUUUAUUUA